UCUCCGUAGGUGAACCUGCGGAGGGAUCAUUACUGAGUGAGGGCCUUCGGGCUCGACCUCCAACCCUUUGUGAACACAACUUGUUGCUUCGGGGGCGACCCUGCCGUUUCGACGGCGAGCGCCCCCGGAGGCUCAUCAAACACUGCAUCUUUGCGUCGGAGUCUUAAUGAAUUUAAACAAAACUUUUAACAACGGAUCUCUUGGUUCUGGCAUCGAUGAAGAACGCAGC
rnacentral:misc_RNA from 1 species